GUCGGAUGUGGUAAUAUAUGCCUGUAACCCCAGCUGUUCAGGGAGGCUGAGGCUUGGCAGACUUGUGUGAGUUUAGGAUUUCUGAACUGCAGGAAACUAUGAUGAUCAGAUGUCCACAUUAAGUUCAGCAAAAUGUGUUGUGUCCCUGGGAGUCAGGGGCCCUCCAGAUUGCCUAAGGAGGAGUGAAGCAGCUCAGAUUAGAAACAGAGUAGUAAAAACCCUUGCCAUAGAAGAAUGGAAUCAGGUUUGUAAGUAGCUUCUACACUUCCAGUCUGGGAGAGAGACAGAGAGACAGAGACAC
rnacentral:SRP_RNA from 1 species